rnacentral:rRNA from 1 species
GACGAACGCUGGCGGCGUGCUUAACACAUGCAAGUCGAGCGGUAAGGCCCUUUCGGGGGUACGACGAGCGGCGAACGGGUGAGUAACACGUGGGUGACCUGCCCUUAGCUCUGGGAUAAGCCUGGGAAACUGGGUCUAAUACCGGAUAUGACUCCAUAACGCAUGUUGUGGGGUGGAAAGCCUUGUGCGGCUAGGGAUGGGCCCGCGGCCUAUCAGCUUGUUGGUGGGGUGAUGGCCUACCAAGGCGACGACGGGUAGCCGGCCUGAGAGGGCGACCGGCCACACUGGGACUGAGACACGGCCCAGACUCCUACGGGAGGCAGCAGUGGGGAAUCUUGCGCAAUGGGCGAAAGCCUGACGCAGCGACGCCGCGUGGGGAUGACGGCC